GCCUUGGUAGUGUAGUGGUCAGCAUACGGCCCUGUCACGGCUGCGACUCGGGUUCGAAUCCCGACCAAGGCG
rnacentral:tRNA from 1 species